CUGGGUGUGCCUGAGAAAUCUAGAUCGUUUUGAAGCGGACAACAUCGCCUUCCCCUCCUCCUCCAUAAUCUCUUGUUGUUCUGGUGCCUCUUCGUUACCUUUUUGGAUUUUUUUGGCCAGGAGGUAAGGAGCGGUUUGUCAUUUCCUUCUCCAGCUCAGAUCAGAACUGAAACAAACAAGGCUAACCGACUGACCCACUGCCGAGUCUGUGAGAAUUCGGAUUUGAAUCUAAGACGAUGAGUGCUCCGUGCUCCAGGCCCAGCGUGCCGGCGCCGUUCUCGGAGGCACCUACCUGCCCUCUCCAUAGCAACAACAAUAAAGAACGACCUCCUGUGCACAUUCAGAGAGAAAGCUAUGGGAAGAAGCGCAAAUGGCUUGAGAUGAGGGACACCCAAACUGACUAAUGCCUUUAGUUCCUAAAAUCACGAGUCCGAUCUCGAGCAGCUCCUCCCUCGCUUUCCACAAUUUUGCUCCAACUCGGUCCCAAAGGAAGGGACUAGAAGAAGUCUUAAAACCCGCCUCCCGAGACGGCGCUCCCCACCACCUUGCGGCUCUUCUGCUUUCUUCCCGAUUCUGGCCUUCCUCGCCCGCCUUUAUUCGUCUCCUGAGUGUGACGUAGGGCGGCUACCCGAUCCAUUUCCGUUGAAACCGAAAGUUUUCUCCGGAAGGCGCGGCCGGCAGCCCGACGGAACCGAGGCGGAGGAGGGAAAAAAGGCUAGGCCGAGGAGCCGCGCAAGCGCAGGCGCGGAAGCCCGAACCCCCGCGCGCGCUUUUUCUGCGCGGGAGUCGCGACCGAAAGGCUUCUCCUUUCCUUUCUUCUCCUUCUCGCCCUUCUUUCCUUUUUCGUCCUGGAGGGAGGGGAAGCCGGGGUCGGGGCAGUUGAGCCGGCGGCGAUGGCGACCCCUGGUAAGAGGAAGGCGGACUCGGACGUGGGCCAUUCUAAGAAGACGGCUCUGGAUCUCGAAGAGCCUGGAUGCGGGAAAAGAGGAAGCCUCCUGCCUCCGCCUUCGCGGGCGAUGCUGUCAGGAUUCGUGGAGGGCUCCAUCGUCCGGAUCACCAUGGAGAACUUCCUAACCUAUGAUACCUGUGAAGUAAUCCCUGGACCCAACUUGAAUAUGAUAGUUGGAGCUAAUGGAACAGGGAAAUCUAGCAUAGUUUGUGCCAUUUGUCUUGGAUUGGCUGGUAAACCAUCUUUUAUAGGCCGAGUAGAUAAGGUUGGCUUUUAUGUGAAGCGAGGAUGUGCCAAAGGCUCAAUUGAAAUUGAAUUGUUCAAGACUUCUGGAAAUGUUAUAAUUACUCGAGAGAUUGAUGUACUUAAAAAUCAGUCUUCUUGGUUCAUUGAUAAAAAAUCUGCAACUCAAAAAGCCGUAGAAGAACAGGUAGCAGCCUUGAAUAUUCAAGUAGGCAAUCUUUGCCAGUUUCUUCCUCAGGACAAAGUUGGAGAAUUUGCAAAACUCAGUAGAGUUGAACUUCUUGAAGCUACUGAGAAGUCAAUUGGUCCUCCAGAAAUGCACAAGUUUCAUUGUGAACUCAAAAACUACAGAGAAAAAGAAAAACAUCUCCAGAUCGCAUGCAAAGAAAAAAGUGACUACUUGGAAAAAUUGAAACAGACUAAUGAAAGGCAUAAGCAGGAUGUGGAGAGAUAUUAUGAGUGUAAACGUCAUUUGGAUUUAAUUGAGAUGCUUGAAGCAAAAAGGCCAUGGGUGGAAUAUGAAAAUGUUCGUCAACAGUAUGAAGAAGUAAAACAGAAUCGUGAGCAGAUGAAAGAAGAGCUCAAAAAGCUGAAAGAAACACAGGGCCCUCUAACACAAAAAAUUCAAGAGUAUGAAAGGCAGCGCCGGCAGUUGGAUAAUCAAGUCAGAAUAAAGAAUAAUGACAUCAGAGAUACAUCUUGUAAAUGCAAAGAAAAGCAAGAUGCAUUAGAAAGGAGAGAGAAACAAAUUGAAGAAGCAAAGCAUGCUUUCAGAGUGAAGCGAGACGAAGAAGAUAAUAGACUGCAGAGAAUAAGUAAUACUCGUAAGAUGAUCGAUGAUUGGCAGAGUGAAAUUGAGUCCAUAGGAAGCUGUGAGAAUCUGCAACCUCAAAUUGAUUCCCUUAAUGAAGAUCUAAAACAAGUACAUGAGGAAAAGUCAGCAAUUGAUGUAGAGAUAAAUGAGAGGCUAAAAGAGAUAGAAAAUCUAAAGAAAGAUAAAGAAACUAUAACUGCUCGUAUUGUAUGCCUUGAUAACCUAUUGAAUCAAAGGGAAGAGAAAUUGAGAAUGAGAUAUCGUGAUACACAUGAUGCUGUUAUGUGGCUAAGAAAAAAUAAACAAAGAUUUAAGAAAACAGUUUUUGAACCCAUAGUGCUCAUGAUCCAUGUGAAAGACUAUAAAAAUGCCAAAUACAUUGAAAAUCAUAUUCCAUCAAAUGACUUGAGAUCUUUUGUAUUUGAAAGUCAAGAAGAUAUGGAAUAUUUUCUCAAAGAGAUGCGUGACAAUCACAAAUUAAAAGUAAAUGCUGUUUGUAUCCCCAGUAUCGUAUAUGCAAACAGAGUACCCACAAGGUCUCUGAAUGAUCUAAAGAAAUAUGGACUUUUUUCUUAUCUAAGAGAGUUGUUUGAUGCACCUCAAUUUGUGAUGAGUUACCUUUGCUACCAGCAUCAUGUUCAUGAUGUCCCUGUAGGAACAGAAAAGACCAGAGCAAUAAUUGAGCAGGUUAUUCAUGAAACCAAACUGAAACAGAUUUACACAGCUCAAGAAAAGUAUGUGGUAAAAACUUCUAUUUAUUCAAAUGACAUUAUAUCUAGUAACACACACCUGAAAACAGCCCAGUUUCUCACAUUUACUGUGAAUGUUCAAGAAAGAAGACAAUUAGAAGAUCAGGAUAAGGAAAUAAUUAAAAAAUUUCAGACACUAGAUAUAGAGUUAACAGUCUUUCGUGAAAAAAUCAAACAUCUUGAACACAGAGACAAUGAAUUCAGAAAUAAAAAGAAGGAUCUUCAAGACAGGAAAACCAAAAAGAAUCAACUGGAACAGAAAAUUGGUUCGAAAUUAGAUAGUUUAAAGCUGAUAGAACAUCGUACUUACAAUCUUGAAGAAGAGGAACAGAAAACAAAUGCCAAAAUCAAAGAAAUUAAUGCCCAGAAAGCAAAGUUGGUUUCUGAAUUAUUGAAGCUAAUUAAGACUUGCACAAUGUUGAAUGUACGGAAAGUAGAUUUAGUUCUUGAGCUAGCUACAGAAGGCUAUGAGAAGAACAAAUUAGAAAGAGAAUAUAAAACUACAAUAUCAAACCUGCGGCAACUGGAGCAACAAUACAAUGUUUUUGGGGAAAAAAAACGUAGACUUCUAGAAAAGUGCAAAGAGCUUAUGAAGAAAGCUAGGCACGUGUGUAACCUUGGCCCAGAUCAGAGCAUUCCUCAAGAGUACCAGACAGCUUUCCAAGAUCUCCCAAACACAGUGGAAGAAAUUGAUUCUUUACUUGCUGAAGAGAAGACAAGAGCUUCUUGCUUCACCGGCCUGAAUGCUUCAGUUGUUGAAGAUUACAAAAAAAGAGCACAAGAAAUACAACAGCUAACUGAAGAACUAGAGCUAAAGACAAAUGAGCUGGAUAACUAUAGGCAGACUAUUUCAAAGGUUAAAGAAAGGUGGCUCAAUCCAUUGAAAAAUCUGGUAGAACAAAUAAAUGAAAAAUUUGGCAGUUUUUUUAGUUCCAUGCAGUGUGCUGGUGAAGUAGAUCUCCAUACAGAAAAUGAGGAAGACUAUGAUAAAUAUGGAAUUAGAAUUAGGGUCAAAUUUCGCAGUAGCACCCAACUGCACGAAUUAACUUCUAGUCAUCAAAGUGGAGGUGAAAGAAGUGUUUCCACGAUGUUAUACUUGAUGGCACUCCAGGAACUUAAUAGAUGUCCAUUCAGAGUUGUAGAUGAAAUCAAUCAGGGAAUGGAUCCAGCCAAUGAAAGAAGAGUGUUUGAGAUGGUUGUAAAUACUGCCUGUAAAGAAACCACAUCUCAGUAUUUCUUAAUUACCCCAAAGCUUCUUCAGAAUCUCACUUACUCUGAAAAGAUGACAGUGUUGUUUGUCUACAAUGGCCCUUGCAUGCUAGAGCCAAAGAAAUACAAUUUAAAGGCUUUCCUUAGGAGACGACGACGUAUUGGAGUUAGCCGAAUGGAUCAGUGAUGAAAGAAAAGUGGUCUUAGGAAUUUUGCCUUAAAACUAUGUUUAUAAUUACAGAGCUGUUGAAUGAAAAUGAAAAGUUUGCUGAAAUGACAAAGAACAAGAUUUAUUUUUGGAAGCCUGCUUUCAAAUAUAAGUAGGGUGAUAAGGUUGAAACCAUGUACUUUGUGCUCCUUUGGAAAAUUUGCUGGUAGUUAGAGUUACCCUAUUUAGUUUUUGUCAAUUUGGGGUCCUUAGUACCCUGGUGUUAAUUCAUUGAGGUUCUAUGUAAAAUUUCUAGUAUGGAAUCAAAUUGUGUCAUGUAAUAUGUGAAAAUGCAGAUUAUAGAGUUAAAUGGUUCGUGCUCAUGUGGCUAUUGACAACAGAACAACCAUUAGUUAAAUGUAGAGAGACCUAAGUAAUUUUUAAAACCUAAAAUUGGUUCUGUAAGCUUAGGUCAUGAUUUUUCUUCUAAAGUCCCUUAUUUAACUGAUAAAAAUGAUUUUAAUAUUUCUAGUCUGAAAUGUUUGUUAGUAUUCGUUUCUACUCUGAGAUAUACCUUUGUUUUGGAAAAUUUAGAAAAAUUUUUAUGGAAUUUGAAGUUUUUGUCCUAUUUGUCUUUCAUAUUCCUCCUCUCUCCCUUGCUUCUCAGUUAAGCAUAUUGGUUUAAAAAAUAGUAGUAGGACUCUUUUGAAGUGUGACACAAAGUGGAACUUGGAAGUAGCACGAAUAAAAUCAGGAAACUUCCAAGGAAGAAAAUCAGGUGUUGAGGUUAUUGGGGAGGGACAUAAUAACACUAUAAAGUUUUUGUAUUAAAAGUAUAUUUUAUUUUCCAUUUUAAAUCUUGAGCAGUUUCAUAAUUUGGAAGGAAUUAGUUUGGGAUUCAUAUGUGCUGGGACUUAUUUAUAUCUAAGAUUCUUAAAUAUUUUACAUAGAGGAAAAGUGCAUUCAUUUAUUCAGAACAUAAAGAGUUCUUAAAACUUAGUAUUUAUUGCACUUCUGUAAUUAUAUUGAUCUUCAUUGUCUCAAAUCUAAUUAAAAAUUUUUUCUUCAGUGAAAAACCUGUUAAAUAAUUUUUAAAUUGAAGAUAUCCCCUCAGCAGUGCAAAGCAAAUUCUGUACCUUUUUGAAAUAUAUAUAUAUAUAUAUAUAUAUAGAAAAAAAGGCUUGCUCUAAAAACACAUCCAUUUGCUUAAAUGGAUGAAUUGUCCAUUUGGUUAAAUCUGUAUUAUCAUCUACAUAUGUCCAUUCAGUGUGUCUGCUCACAGAAAAUGAGAAAUUGAAUUCAGUGCAUUUUAUAUAUGUAUAUAUUUUAAAUAGCCUUCAGAAUUGAUAUUUUUCUUAGGUCAAGAAAUAAUGGUGUUAUAACUUAUACUCUUUCAGCCUAGAGAUUUUCUCAGUGAAAAAGAGUGAAAUUGCAUUUUCCUGUGUAAAAAGUUUAAAAGAAAACCUUUGUUUAUUAAGUCUAAUGAAUGAAAUAUGUAAAUAAUAUUUUUACUUUUGAGUUUAUCAAAUUGUUUUGAUAUUUUGUUCCUUAUGGAAAUUCUGAAACUUAGUAAAUUUUUUUGUUUUAUUUUUAAGUAUAUUCAUUUUUACCAAUUAAAUCUAUUAUUUAUGUGGUUAACGUAAUAUAGAUUUAAUUUUUUAUUCUGGGUUCAGUCAUUACUUUUUAGCAAGAAAAAAGAUUUAUGGAAACAAACUCAAAGAUGCCAUAGAUAAAAAUAAGAUGGUAAUGACAUUUCAAUUUAUAUAUCAUAAUCAUUUCUUUAUAAGCAUUCAGAUUUUUGUACUAAAGAAAUGAAUGUGUGAUUCCCCUUUGAAAUACUGACUUCAAAGAUAAAUUAUGUAGCAUUCUAAUACAAAAAGUAAAAAAUGCAAAGAAUGAAAAGUCUACCAAGGUCAAUAUAUUCUCAACCACUUGUAAAUGUCAUUUUGAAAAGGGAAAAAAUUGAAUUCUAUUUGCACACAAUUCAUAAAAACAUCAAGAAUAAGAUUUGAUUUAAGUAAUGUAAUAUUCAAAAUUUUUAGUGCAUUGAUGUUAAUGGGUAAAGAUUUUCAGUAAUUCAAAGUAAUAGGAAGAUAUUUUGCUAUUUUCUAAUUGGUUUUAAUAUUUAUUUUUCUUUUGUAUAUUUCCUUCAAGAUUAUGCCAUUUUCAUAAGUCCAUCCUUCUGAAAUAUUUUUAUCCAAAAAUGUUGGAGCAAAAUCUUCUAUGCUUCGGGUGAAGUCAAGAAAGCAGGGGUAACCAUCCUGAUCUCAGAUCAAGCAAAAGCAAAAAUUGAUCUAAUUAAAAGAGAUAAGGAAGGACCUGUCUGCUGGACAAGUUUGAAGAGAAGCACCUCCAUCCCUUGUUAAGGCUGCCAGAGAAGAGAGUGAUCUGCCUCAGCCAUGGCAACCUCGAUUUCUGACCACAGGUCUCACAGUGGUGAUAAUGCCCCAUUGCCAGGCCUAGUAUAUUUUAAAAAAUAUUUUUAAGUGUGCUAUCUUUUUUGUUUUAUAUCAACUUCAUUUGCCACUACAUCCCUCUCCCUUUCUCCAUCCAAAGAAUCACCAUUUAUAAUGAAAAUAAUGAAAGGGGUGAACUUAUUAAGGAAAACUAACUAAUAUACCAGUCGAGUCUGAUCUGCCUGAAUGAUCAAUCAAGUAUUCUACAUGCGUAGUCUUUUCAGUUCAACAAAGAAGGGAGAGAAAAAUGCUUUCUCUUCUCUAGAAUACCAAGCUUGGGCAUUCUCAUGACACAACGUUCAGUUUCAGUUGUUUUACUGUUUUUGUUGGUUUUUUUUUUUUCAACACUGUAUGGUUUUUCCCGAUUCUGAUUUGCAUCAGUCACUUCAUAUGUUCCCUCACAUGUUCCUUAUGGUAUUCAUAUUUGUUUCUUGCAGUAUAUACAUAAUAUUCACAUGCCAUAGUUUGUUAAUAUCCAGUUGAUGGGUUAUCUAUUUCCAGUACUUUGCUACUUUAGAGAGUGCCACUAUAAAUAUUUCAGGGUACAUAAUUAUGUUUACUUUUCAUCUUUUGCUUUCUUGGAGUAUGUGCCUUUCACCAAAUCUCUGGGUCAGAAGCAGACUUUUUAGUCAUUUUCUUAGCAAAAUUCCAAAAUUGCUUUCCAAAAUGGUCAUACCAGUUCACAAUCCCAACUGUUAGUAAUCCUGUCUUUGCACAGACUUUCCAAUACUAUACCUAUCUUUGAUAUUCUUUGCUAAUUUGCUAACAUCAGAUAAAACUUAAACAUUGUUUUGAUUUCAUUUUUCUUUUGUGACUUUGCAAUAUUUAAUAUGAUUAAGUUUGCUAUUCAUUUGAGAAUUGCUUCUUCAAAUCAUUAGACCACUUAUCCAUUAGUCAGUGGCUUUUGGUGUUGUAUCAGACCCUUAGAGAUGGUUGAAAUAAAGAUAUUUUCCAAUUGA